rnacentral:misc_RNA from 1 species
GAUGAAGAACGUAGCGAAAUGCGAUAAGUAGUGUGAAUUGCAGAAUUCAGUGAAUCAUCGAAUCUUUGAACGCACAUUGCGCCCCUUGGUAUUCCAUGGGGCAUGCCUGUUCGAGCGUCAUUUGUACCCUCAAGCUUUGCUUGGUGUUGGGCGUCUUGUCGUAUUACGACUCGCCUUAAAUACAUUGGCAGCCGGCACUUUGGCCUAGGAGCGCAGCACAUUUUGCGAUCGUAGCCCGUUGUACUGGCGUCCAUCAAGAACAUUUACCACGUUUGACCUCGGAUCAGGCAGGGAUACCCGCUGAACUUAAGCAUAUCAAUAAGCGGAGGA